rnacentral:rRNA from 1 species
AGUCAACAUGCCCAAAGGACGUGGAUAACCUCGGGAAACUGAGGAUAAACCACGAUAGGCCAAGGUUUCUGGAAUGAGCCAUGGCCGAAAUCUAUAUGGCCUUUGGAUUGGACUGCGGCCGAUCAGGCUGUUGGUGAGGUAAUGGCCCACCAAACCUGUAACCGGUACGGGCUUUGAGAGAAGGAGCCCGGAGAUGGGCACUGAGACAAGGGCCCAGGCCCUAUGGGGCGCAGCAGGCGCGAAACCUCUGCAAUAGGCGAAAGCUUGACAGGGUUACUCUGAGUGAUGCCCGCUAAGGGUAUCUUUUGGCACCUCUAAAAAUGGUGCAGAAUAAGGGGUGGGCAAGUCUGGUGUCAGCCGCCGCGGUAAUACCAGCACCCCGAGUUGUCGGGACGAUUAUUGGGCCUAAAGCAUCCGUAGCCUGUUCUGCAAGUCCUCCGUUAAAUCCACCUGCUCAACGGAUGGGCUGCGGAGGAUACCGCAGAGCUAGGAGGCGGGAGAGGCAAACGGUACUCAGUGGGUAGGGGUAAAAUCCAUUGAUCUACUGAAGACCACCAGUGGCGAAGGCGGUUUGCCAGAACGCGCUCGACGGUGAGGGAUGAAAGCUGGGGGAGCAAACCGGAUUAGAUACCCGGGUAGUCCCAGCUGUAAACGAUGCAGACUCGGUGAUGGGUUGGCUUCGAGCCAACCCAGUGCCGCAGGGAAGCCGUUAAGUCUGCCGCCUGGGGAGUACGGUCGCAAGACUGAAACUUAA